GAUGAACGCUGGCGGCGUGCUUAACACAUGCAAGUCGAACGGAAAGGCCGAAGCUUGCUUCGGUACUCGAGUGGCGAACGGGUGAGUAACACGUGGGUGAUCUGCCCUGUACUUCGGGAUAAGCUUGGGAAACUGGGUCUAAUACCGGAUAUGACAAUCUCUUGGAUGGGGUUGUGGAAAGCUUUUGCGGUAUGGGAUGAGCUCGCGGCCUAUCAGCUUGUUGGUGGGGUAAUGGCCUACCAAGGCGUCGACGGGUAGCCGGCCUGAGAGGGUGUACGGCCACAUUGGGACUGAGAUACGGCCCAGACUCCUACGGGAGGCAGCAGUGGGGAAUAUUGCACAAUGGGCGGAAGCCUGAUGCAGCGACGCCGCGUGGGGGAUGACGGCCUUCGGGUUGUAAACUCCUUUCGCAACCGACGAAGCUUUUGUGACGGUAGGUGGUGAAGAAGCACCGGCUAACUACGUG
rnacentral:rRNA from 1 species